rnacentral:misc_RNA from 1 species
GUUCCGUAGGUGAACCUGCGGAAGGAUCAUUAUUGUAUAACCGAGGUGCGAGGGCCGUCGCUGACCCGAAAGGUCGUGCACGCCCGAGUGCCCUCACACACAUCCAUCUCACCCCUAUGUGCACCACCGCGUGGGUCCCCCUUUGGCUUGUUCGGAGGGGGGCUUACGUUUUCACACAAACUUUGUAUGCAGUGUAGAAUGUAUUUUUUGUUUUUGCGAUCACGCAAUCAAUACAACUUUCAACAACGGAUCUCUUGGCUCUC